rnacentral:rRNA from 1 species
CCUACGGGAGGCAGCAGUGGGGAAUAUUGGGCAAUGGAGGAAACUCUGACCCAGCAACGCCGCGUGAAUGAUGAAGGUCUUCGGAUUGUAAAGUUCUUUUCUAAGGGAAGAAGAAAGUGACGGUACCUUAGGAAUAAGCCUCGGCUAACUACGUGCCAGCAGCCGCGGUAAUACGGAGGAUGCGAGCGUUAUCCGGAUUUAUUGGGUUGAAAGGGUGCGUAGGCGGGAUGCCAAGUCAGCGGUAAAAAUGCGGUGCUCAACGCCGUCGAGCCGUUGAAACUGGCGUUCUUGAGUGGGCGAGAAGUAUGCGGAAUGCGUGGUGUAGCGGUGAAAUGCAUAGAUAUCACGCAGAACUCCGAUUGCGAAGGCAGCAUACCGGCGCCCUACUGACGCUGAGGCACGAAAGCGUGGGUAUCGAACAGGAUUAGAUACCCUGGUAGUC